CGAACGCUGGCGGCAGGCCUAACACAUGCAAGUCGAACGAACCUUUCGGGGUUAGUGGCGGACGGGUGAGUAACACGUGGGAACGUGCCUUUAGGUUCGGAAUAACUCAGGGAAACUUGUGCUAAUACCGAAUGUGCCCUUCGGGGGAAAGAUUUAUCGCCUUUAGAGCGGCCCGCGUCUGAUUAGCUAGUUGGUUGAGGUAAUGGCUCACCAAGGCGACGAUCAGUAGCUGGUCUGAGAGGAUGAUCAGCCACAUUGGGACUGAGACACGGCCCAAACUCCUACGGGAAGCAGCAGUGGGGAAUCUUGCGCAAUGGGCGAAAGCCUGACGCAGCCAUGCCGCGUGAAUGAUGAAGGUCUUAGGAUUGUAAAAUUCUUUCACCGGGGACGAUAAUGACGGUACCCGGAGAAGAAGCCCCGGCUAACUUCGUG
rnacentral:rRNA from 1 species